rnacentral:rRNA from 1 species
UACAGAGGUCUCAAGCGUUGUUCGGAUUCAUUGGGCGUAAAGGGUGCGUAGGUGGUGUCGUAAGUCGGAUGUGAAAUCCCGGGGCUUAACUUCGGAACUGCAUUCGAUACUGCGAUACUCGAGGACUCGAGAGGAGAUUGGAAUUCACGGUGUAGCAGUGAAAUGCGUAGAUAUCGUGAGGAAGACCAGUGGCGAAGGCGGAUCUCUGGAGAGUUCCUGACGCUGAGGCACGAAGGCCAGGGGAGCAAACGGG